rnacentral:rRNA from 1 species
AUAUCAGUCAUGCAUAGCAUAUCAAUAAGCGGAGGAAAAGAAACUAACAAGGAUUCCCUUAGUAACGGCGAGUGAAGCGGGAAGAGCUCAAAUUUGAAAUCUUCAAGGGUUCUACCUUUACGAAUUGUAGUUUAAAGAAGUGUUUUCUGUUGGAGUUUCGGUAAAAGUUCUUUGGAAUAGGACAUCAUAGAGGGUGAGAAUCCCGUAUUUGACCAGUUACUUUCCAGCUUUGUGAUACACUUUCAAAGAGUCGGAUUGUUUGGGAAUGCAGUCCAAAAUGGGUGGUGAAUUUCAUCUAAAGCUAAAUACUGGCGAGAGACCGAUAGCGGACAAGUACCGUGAGGGAAAGAUGAAAAGAACUUUGAAAAGAGAGUUAAACAGUACGUGAAAUUGUCAAAAGGGAAGCGUUUGACACCAGUGUUGUUUUUCCGAAAAUCAGUUACGAAUGUUUUGUUUUUGAGGAGUUAUGACUUCAUCGGCUUGCUUCUCUCUUUACGAAACUUUCUUAAUGCACUUUUCGGUUAACAAGUCAACAUCAAUUUCUUUUGUUGUAAAAGGGUAUGAGGAAGGUGGCUUUCUUUUCGGAGAAAGUGUUUAUAGCCUUGUGCCUCUGCAAUCGGAGAGAUUGAGGUCUGCAGCGUAGAUCCUUCGGGGUUAGAUACGUUUGUGCUAAGUUAUAGCUUUUCAUAGACAACUUGUUGACUAUGUUUAGUCUUGUAGCUUACUCGCUUAUGCUAUUUUACCUACGCUUAGGAUGUUGAUCUCUCACAGUCGAGC